AACGGUUUCCGUAAGAUAACCGAAGUUAAGCAACAUCGAGCCUGGUAAGUACCUUAAUGGGUGACCGAUUGGGAAUACCAAGUAUUGUAAG